ensembl:lncRNA
CCCUGUUUGUGUUGCAAGCGGCCAUCUCCCCUGUGGGCUUCAGCACACUAAAAGAGCUUUUUCCCUAAAAGAGCAUUUACUGGUGCGUCUUUUUAAAGACGGCGUUGCGUUUGGCAAACUCGAUGUUAUGUCUUCGUAAAGACGACGUUGCGUCUUGCUAUAGACAAUGUGUCACCCGUGCAUUUCUGGAUGCAGUUGUUACCUGGCGCCGGGUGAUGGUCACGAUCGCUGCCUCAUGUGUCUGGGCAUUAAGCACACUGAGGUUGCGUUUGUCAAGUCACCUUUAUUUAUAUAUCGCUUUAAACAAAAAAAGUUUGCGUCAAAGCAACUGAACAACAUUAAUUAGGAAAACAGUGUGUCAAUAAUGCAAAAUGACAGUUAAAGGCAGUUCAUCAUUGAAUUCAGUGAUGACAUCAUGCAGCUCAGUUCAGGUUAAAUAGUAUCUGUGCAAUCAUUUGCAAUCAAGUCAACGAUAUCGCUGUAAAUGAAAUGUCCCCAACUAAGCAAGCCAGAGGCGACAGCGGCAAGGAACCAAAACUCCAAUGACAGAAUGGAAAAAAAACCUUGGAAGAAACCAGGCUCAGUCGGGGGGCCAGUUCUCCUCUGACCAGACAAAACCAGCAGUUCAAUUCAAGGCUGCAGCAAAGUCAGAUUGUGCAGAUGAAUCAUCUUUUUCUUGUGGUCUUGUCUCGGUGGUCGUCUGAGACAAGGUCUUUACAGGGGAUCUGUCUCUGGGGUUCUAGUUGUCCUGGUCUCCGCUGUCUUUCAGGGCUGUAGAGGUCCUUUCUAGGUGCUGAUCCACCAUCUGGGCUGGAUACGUACUGGAUCCGGGUGACUGCAGUGACCCUCUGACUUGGAUACAGACUGGACCUGGUGGCUACAGUGACCUUGGAAUAAGAGAGAAACAGACUAAUAUUAGCGUAGAUGCCAUUCUUCUAAUGAUGUAGCAAGUACUGUACAUCAGGUGUUAUGGGAAGUGUUCCCGGUUCACCUAAUUAAUGCAGCCUAAAAUUCCUUUAACGGAUUUGGAUAUUAGACGCAUACUCUAACUGCUGCAUUUUGGACUAACUGGAGUUUGUUUACUAAAUGUUUGUGGAUGAGUCAUGUUCUCAUUGCGGGAAGAUGACCAUCUCGGAGUUGCAGGCCAAGUGCCAUUACCUCAAAAGAGGCGGAGCUCCGUUGCCUCUGCCUCAAUCUAGUUCUCGUCAUGGCGGCAUUAAGGUGGGGCCUACUUCAGGCAGUAGCACGGGUGGUCUAAGGGUAACAGUGAUGGCAAACCCUCCAGGGAACCAACCCUCCAGGGACCAUCGCUCCUCUUGCGAGCUGCCAAAGGAAUGUGUUGCGCCCUCUACAAGAAGCGUACCAGCAGUAUCCUUGGCGCUCCUCCCAACAACAGGAUGUAAAUUGCUGCCUCGAAGGGUGAGCCGGAGCUUUCUGGAGAGGAAGAUUUGGCUGUGCUGCUGCCCUCCAGGACUGUAGCAAUGCCUGAAUCGGAUCCAGAAAUGACAGCUAUGCUUUCCCAGGCCACCGUAAGAGUAGGGCUUGAGUGGAGACCUCCACUGUGUUCCAAUCCCACAAAGUUAAAUGAUUGGUUCCUUGGGGUGGCCCGCACUAAUUCUCAGUGCCCCGACCCAUUGCCAUUCUUCCCGGAGGUGCAUGAGGGGCCUACCAGGUCGUGGAUGGUACCUUUUUCUGCUGAAAACUGACCUGCUUACUCCUCCUCCCUCACCACUCUCGACAGUGCUGCAGCUAGGGGGUAUACGGGGGUCCCCCCAGUGGAGCGGUCAGUUGCGAUGCAGUUGUGUCCUAAUACCGCCUCCACCCGGCAGUGCAAACCAUACCUCCUCUCCCGGGUCUGUAAGUACUCGUCUGGUCUGUCCGACAAUGCUUAUGUGGCCUGUGGAGAAGCUGCCUCCACCUUACAUGCUACGGCAUUACUGCAGGUUUAACAGUCAAGCACUGUUUGAUAAUGGUUUAUAUUAUUAAGAUCGCUUCAGAAGUUCAACUGAAACUAUAAUACUUGUGUAUUUUUCCUCGAUAGAAAAUAUCCUAGAAGCACAAGGCAAAGUCUCCAUUUGCUCUCCCGUUGUUGUCUAGGAGAUGCAACUGAGAUUUUUGCAAUAUUUUUUACUUUCCAUUCUCUCUCUUCCUUGUUCUUCUUUCUUUUUCUUCCACCGGAGAAUAUAUACAUGAGCACAAUUUGUAAGUGUCUGGACAACUUAAAGACAGAAAUUAAGUUCUACCAGAAAGACUCAGGAGGUAGAGAUAAGACUGAAGUAUUUAUUUACAAAAACACAAAAAAUAGAAUUAUUUUGGCAUAGGCCCCAUCCGUAGCGUGGAUCUGAAGUUUGUAGAUACCAGCUAAUCCUGCCGAAGAGGAAGGCAGGGCGGAGCCUACCCCAAAAGAAAGAAGAAUAAUGUAAUACGCACCAGAUGAAGUAUUUCUUAGAGGAUCCUGGAACAUGAACGAAAGAGAUAAAUUGAGAUAAUUAGCCAGACAUAAGAAUACAACAUUAGAUUAUAGCUAAAGUAUUAGCUUAUAUGCAAUGAAGAUAGACCACAGAGCCUUCGAGAGAGGCCACAAUAGGCCGGACAGUGAGAGAGAAAGAGGCAGGCCACAAUAGGCCGGACAGUGAGAGAGAGAGGCAGGCCACGAUAGGCCGGACAGUGAGAGAGAGGCAAGCCACGAUAGGCCGGACAGUGAGAGAGAGGCAGGCCACGAUAGGCCACAGAAAAGGCCCCGGCGGGCCACAGUGGUUAACGGCCCCGGCGGGUCACAGUGGUUAACGGCCCCGGCGGGCCACAGUGGUUAACGGCCCCGGCGGGCCACAGUGGUUAACGGCCCCGGCGGGCCUUAAAAGAAAGCCACGAAGGCUGCAGAGAAAAGGCCUAGCUAGGCCACAGAUGAGGAUGUCCAAAUGGACCAGUGCGAAAGCCAAGAGGCCGUAGAAUGAAAUGAAAUGCAGUAUGCACAGAGAGGAAGGCCAUGUAAUUAGACCACGGUGGGAACAGCACGAGAUGGGUAACAGAGGGGAAGGCCACGAAAGACGGGCCAAAAAAGAAAGGACUAGUUAAGGCACAGUAAUCAGAGGUUGUUGGGAGUAAUAUGAAGAGGAAUUGUACUACCACCAUUAUUUGCAUAUAGAUUACCUUGAGGACAGCUUGAUAUACCUUAAGAUGUUUAGUAAUUCAGGUCUAAUGUAGGAUUCAAAUGCAGAGGAUGACCAUCUUCCCAGUAGCUUCAUAUCUGAUGUUUGUACUCCGAGUUCAACAGCAUUAGUGACCAGUGUAUAGAAGCGGUGACAGACCGCAGCUUCUAAACGUGACUACAUUGAGCUGAACCAGCCGCAGAGACAAAGGCCCUGAUAGGCCGUGAAAGAACGCUACAAGAGGCCGUAGAGAGUAUAGCUGCUAAGGCCAUGACAGAAGCCUGCGAGAGGUGGUGGAAGAGUAAAUGUAAUGAAUAGGUGUAACACCACCACCACCAGUAUUUGCUUAAUUUACCUUAAACACACGCAUUACAUUACGUUGAUAGGCAAUGUACUUUUCUUUAAGCUAUGUGAUGUGAAAGCCUUGUGUGUAGAUAACAACGAUAGACCAUUGUGUGUGAAAAACCAUGAUAAACUGGACAUGGGGAGCAUGUGAGAAGUAGUCACCGCCAGUAGUUUGCUAAGAGUAUUAUACUGUACCUUGAGCAUUACGUGAAAAAGUCUGAUCUUGACGGACAUCCGAUGAGAAGGAUCAUGUACAUAGCAGCCUGAAGGCAAAUUACAGGAAUUCUAAACCACCUCAUUUAGUAAGAAAGGUGAUUAGGUUAAUUGAUAAGAGGUAGAAUUAGGGUUCUAGCAGACAUAAGAGCAUAUACACAGAUACAAUUCUUUAGGCUAGACUCCUGCGCACUCUUGAUAAAACUCCAUCUAACUGCCAGAAACUGUAGAGGAAACCUACCCCCCCCCCCCCAUAGAAAAUGAGCCAGAUCAGCAUGACCAUAAAAAGAGAUACUCAAUUUAAGCCAAGUCGCUGUGACAUGUGAAGGCCACAAUAGGCCAAACUUCAUAAACUGUAAUGGACAACGUCCCUGAUGACCAUCAUAGCAGAGUUAUGCAAAGUGCCUCAGCAGUCUGUGUAAGGUGAAGGCAGCAACAGCCGGGUAAGACCAAACAAGCCUCGAUUAUAACUUAAAGUCUGCGUGAAAUCAAAAUUGACUUUACUAGAACAGAGCAAGUUUAUCCGCUGAAAAAGAAAAAAAAUAGAAAUAAUUUUCUUUGGAAUCCUUAAUCAAAACUGAACAUUUACUUCCGCUGUGGAAUGGCAUUCCUUUUCUAAUGACGGCAGUUUGACGGCAUGGGCAGAAUAUCCUUAAACACACCCCUCCAACCAUUAGUUUGCGAUAAGUGAAAGACAGAUUAGAAGUGCAAACAAAAACCAUGCCCUCUAUUCAAUAUUCCGUUUCAGCUGGAAAUACGUCACCACACUGAAAUAAAGUCAGCAGCGACCUCCAGUUCACGUGGACUUUAAAGAUGAGCCGACUCUUACCUAGAACUCAAAUGAAAGAUGACCAUAUACAUCAGCUUGAUAGAGCCUGCUUCAUAAUAGCGCCAGUCCAAAGAGUGACCUGUGUAAAGACGAGGUGAGAGCCAAAGUUCUCUGCAUCUGCAGCCAUGGAAUUCCCACAAAGCUUGAUGACUCCAUUUAACCAUGGGAACCCGACGAGUGACCCCCAUUCCUAUACGAGGCAUUCAGAAUUAUUGUAGAUAGAUGCAAAUUAAACAAUGGCUGAAUAAACAAAGACAAAAGCAUAUGAUUAAGACAAAAAAUACUUAAAGGUGUGCAAAACAUAGCCCAUUUUUCAGAAGGAAUAAUGCGAGCAACGAUCUUUAUCAGUAGGCUAUAAAGAUUGUAAGCCUUUAAUAACAAGCCUUAAAAUGCCUUAUUACAAAAGAGUUGUUCCAAACAUUGAAUGUAUUAGUUUGAUUAACAUCUUGAUCAUACAGCGCUAGUUUGCUAGAUAAACCAUCACGCAACACCAAACGCUUUAUCUUAAACGUUUGAGCAAAUAACCUUGCAGAGAAUAAAAUGUAUGCCCAAGCGCAUAAAACAAAAAUGAUACUUAUAAAGGUGUAGGCUGAUGAAGGCGAGAUGCCAAAAGAGACCGUCAGCAGGCCCAGAGAGAUUUCAUGCGUGCAGGUUCACGUGAGCGUACAGAUGAAAUAUUUUGUUGAUAGAGACCAUAGACUGUAAAAAAAUAUGGACGUAGUGUCCGUGACGUCACCCAUAGACUCCUCAAUAGCGGUUUUGAAGCUCAAAGUGUGCCGAGCGGGCUGUCGCCAUCUUGGCAGCACGUCACCGCGCGACUCUCCCGGAUAAUCGAAAAUGGGCAAAAAGGCGGGAGCUGGUUGCUGAAGCCACGCCCACCUAGCGCGACGGCAUUGUCAGCAGCGGCAAUCCACCUGUCACUCAAGUGGCCACGCCCUUAAUUAUGUAGAACUUUAAGGCUUAAUAUAAUUUAAACGGAUGAGUUAUAAAAAAAAUUCACCCCCCUCACAGUUGUCACAAAGGGCAAAAUUAGCAAUAUAGACCAAAAUCAUUUUUUGAACCAGGCUAUAAACAUGUUUUUUUCUGCUGUAAAGUUCGGCAUUUUAACAUGGGGAGUCUAUGGGACUGACUCCCUUUUGCAGCCAGCCUCAAGCGGACAGUCGAUGAAUUGCAGUUUUAGUCACUUCCUUAUUGGCUUCACGAGAGAGAGCGGGAGGUUGCCGCUCGAUAGAGACACAAGCAGCGCCGACACGACAGCUCGGAAAGCACCGGCGUUGCCAUGUCCUCGAUUUUUCUGAGGAAUUGGGAUAUUGGUACACUGUUGCUGCGGGCUGCUUUACAUGUCCGCGAGUUGAAGCGACCCCAUAAUGUGAUAUUUAGCGCCUGGAAUGUGAUUUUUUUUUUUUUUUUUCCUCCUCCUCAGGGAACCCUUCUCGAAACGCGAUUGGGAUAGUUUUGAGUAGCAAUUGGCGGUUUUGAAAAAACCUGGCAACACUGGAAAGCACUCGGAACUCCGCCAAUGUUUCACUUCCUCUGCCGAGAAAACUCCGAAGCCUGUGUAUCAUCCGACACUACUAACGACCAAGCAUUCACCGCGACACCAAAGCAAAGCCAACUAUCUAAUGUGCAUCUUCAGAGGAAUGUCAAACUCGCAAUAGUUUGCAGGAGACGAACUUAACUGCAAGUAACCCAGUGAAAAUCAGGCAAUAGCCUAAACGACAGUUUGCGCAAAAAUGACAGCGGCGGUAUCUGCAAACACAAUAGGAUGUGAGUAGUGCGCUUUUAUAUCCAUCGUGUUGAGAGCCGAUUGGCUAGACCUUAAUUGUAAUGUGACGUGGUGUGACAUUUAGUCUUCCUAGUAGAACUUACGCUUACGCUUCCAUUUCCUGUGGAUCAUCUCCCACCACAGUAGGAAAAGAAACACCAAUAAUUAUACGAGUUCUUGGAAUUCACAGUACACAGUUCAAAAUACUCCCUGAUACAGCCAAAAUUUGUGUGCUACAGAUUACUAGCCAGAAGUCAUCUGUGUUCUCACAAAAAUUCUCUACUCAUACAAAACAAAUGGGGGAAUUUAUGAGGUAGAAUUGCUCAUUGACGGAAUCCAGGAAGAACAUAUUCUGACAAAAAUCUGUUGUGUUCUGAUGCCUGUAUCUGUGUCAAAAACUGUAUCAGACAGAGGAAGCAAUUCCAGCUCUUCACAUCAAUUAUGCAAGAAGAUAACAGUCAGUAAACACUUCACACAACAAACACUGUAUUCUCCCGAUGCCUCCUUCAAAAACAUGACAAUAUGUGCAAAUGAACUCCCAUGUUCAUCAAGUUGUCAGAGAGUAAAAUGCCACCAUGUUUCUUCUCAUUCUUUUUAUGUAAAUCCGUCACGUCACGUCAGUCUAGAACCCACAGUGAGUAAAUAUCAUCCAUGUGAUUACUCUUCAUAUGCAAUAAUGCCAUCACACACUGUUUAGCAACAGUGGAUUAAUAUAAAAGUAUGCAUUCGGAUGAUGGCAUAUUCUGUAUUUAAUGAACCAAAUAAACCCCAGAUUUCAACACAGGAGGAGAGCAGGAAAUGCUCUGGGUUGUGAGGUGCCAAAGAGAGCUGGGCGAUUGGGACAUGACCUUAAAUAUUCCAGCUUAUGAAUGCCAAAUACAUCUGUUUGUGUGUGACGGAGAGAGAGAGAGAAAGAGA